UACGGAGGGUGCAAGCGUUAUCCGGAAUCACUGGGUUUAAAGGGUGCGUAGGCGGCGUCAUAAGUCAGGGGUGAAAGCCCACAGCUCAACUGUGGAAUUGCCCUUGAUACUGUGGUGCUUGAAUCAGGUUGAGGUAGGCGGAAUGUGGCAUGUAGCGGUGAAAUGCUUAGAUAUGCCAUAGAACACCGAUUGCGAAGGCAGCUUACUGGACCUGCAUUGACGCUGAGGCACGAAAGCGUGGGGAGCGAACAGG
rnacentral:rRNA from 1 species